GUGGGGAAUAUUGGACAAUGGGGGGAACCCUGAUCCAGCCAUGCCGCGUGUGUGAAGAAGGCCUUUUGGUUGUAAAGCACUUUAAGCGAGGAGGAGGCUACCGAGAUUAAUACUCUUGGAUAGUGGACGUUACUCGCAGAAUAAGCACCGGCUAACUCUGUGCCAGCAGCCGCGGUAAUACAGAGGGUGCAAGCGUUAAUCGGAAUUACUGGGCGUAAAGCGCGCGUAGGUGGUUUUGUAAGUUGGAGGUGAAAUCCCCGGGCUCAACCUGGGAACUGCCUCCAAAACUGCAUGACUAGAGUACGGUAGAGGGUAGUGGAAUUUCCUGUGUAGCGGUGAAAUGCGUAGAUAUGCGGAGGAACACCGAUGGCGAAGGCAAUCCCCUGGGCCUGUACUGACGCUCAUGCACGAAAGCGUGGGGAGCAAACAGGAUUAGAUACCCGAGUAGUCC
rnacentral:rRNA from 1 species